AUGUUUUUGUUUCAACAGCUUCCCCUGGAAAUCCUCAGUGAAGUUAUUUUGUCAACAGGUGACUCUACAUAUAUGACACUUUCUCUGGUAUGCAGAUGGUUUAGAGAUGUGGUCACUCAAGAAGUUUUUCGGAAAGCGGCACACUUUGCCUGGCUAGACAUUGUGGCCAACUGGAAUAAUUUUACUCCUGUCUACCGGAUCGAGUUCAGACGGAUGAACAGCAUCAGGGAAUGCUUGCAGUUCAGAGCCCUUUUCAAGUCAAACCCACCAGGGUACAGGGGAAGAAUUUCACUCAGUGCUGCUGCCAGCUAG
rnacentral:lncRNA from 1 species